CUUCACUAUGAAACAUCACCAAUAAAACAUCCCUCAAUUUCCACAAACACUCUUCCUUCUCCUUCCUCAAAGAAGAAAAAAGUAUAAUAUCAGUUUUUUAAGGAUCAAAAGACUAGGUUUUUCAAUUUUCACAAAUUUCUUCAAAAUCUUGGCCACAAAGAGGGAAUAGAGCCUCCACAUGGAUUCCUCUAUCAGCUCCCAUGACAACUCCAGAUCUAGCAGUCUUAACCUCUUAAGCCACC
rnacentral:lncRNA from 1 species